AAGCCCAUACGUGUUACGUACAUAUUGGUUGGCCGAAGAAAAAAUAGAAGUAGGAAAAAAAAGUUAAGGCGACGGAUCAAUUUUUUUCUUUUUUGCCUAUCGCUCUCUUUCUCUCUCGAUCGAAGUCCAGAAUUGACAAAGGAAGGAGAAGGAAUCAAACGCUAUGGAAUCAGAGGAGAUUGGGAUCGGAGGGGUUCUGAAGCGGAGGAGAUUUCUCUUCUUCUUCUUCUUCUCUCAAAUCUGCGGUAGAAGAAGCAUGGCUACGAAGCAGAACGAAAGCCUAAUUCUCCAUUAUAUUUGUGGACAGCUUAUCACAGUUCCCCCAUCCAUGUGGUCUCCAUAACCCUUUCAUAAACUCGAUUUUGCUUGUCUUAUUCUUGGUUUUAAAUAUGUUGGACAGAGAAAAGGGAGAAUUGCAGGGAAGCUUCAUUUCAGGUAAUAUUUAUCUUUGAGGGUCACUUUAGUCAUGAAACUAAUGCUUAUCUUCUGUUUGUUAUCCACCUCUAGCAUGUGAAGUUAUAUGGUGAACUGACACCUUCAAGCAAAGCAGAUAUAAAGGUUAUGGUUGAUGCUUUUAUCGAUGAGGGAGAUGUCUCAAGGAGACAAGGACACGCUUCGCUUCUUCUCUGUGGUAACAUCUUCAAGGGUUAUGUUCUUCCUCUGAACUCUUCUUUUAUUUACUCCCUGAUUUUCCUAAUUACAUGUGAUUUACUUGUUUCUCUGUUAUUUCAGGUUAUGGUUGAUCUUUUUAUCGAUGAGGGUGAUGUCUCAAGGAGACAAGGACACGCUUUGCUUCUUCUAACGUCUUCAAGGGUUUUGUUUUUCCUCCUAACUCUUCUUUUACACUCUGUGUUUGUUCUUUCUUAUGUUUUUUCCCUUGUUAAGAGACUCAAAAUUAAAAUCCACCGUUGGAGGGAAAAAAUUAUCUAAGAUUCCCAAAGUUCUUAUUCUA